UUUGCCAAAAGUUACCUGUAACUUGGAGAAGAUGGACUGUAAGGACUUGAAGGUGUGAUUUUUGGACUUGUUGGUGAAUAUGCUUGUGAAGGGCUAUACCUUGCUGAAGGAUUGUAACUUGGUGAGGUUGGACUGUAAGUUGGUGAGGUGGGACUGUAUCCAGGCGAAGUUGGGCUGUAGGCAGGUGAGGUUGGGCUAUAUGAUGGCGAGGUUGGGCUGUACGAUGGAGAGGUUGGGCUAUAUGAAGGUGAGGUUGGGCUGUAAGAUGGAGAGGUUGGGCUGUAAGAGGGUGAGGUAGGGCUGUAAGAGGGUGAUGUGGGGCUGUAAGACGGAGACGUGGGGCUGUAAGCCGGAGAGGUUGGGCUAUACGCAGGUGAGGUUGGGCUGUAUGCUGGAGAAGUUGGGCUGUAGCUCGGAGAUGUAGGGCUGUAGCUCGGAGAUGUGGGGCUAUAGCUAGGAGAUGUUGGGCUGUAGGAAGGAGACGUUGGUGAAUAAGAUGGGCUUGUGGGAGAAUACGCAGGGCUUGUAGGACUAUAUCCAGGAGAACUAGGACUAUAUGUUGGGGACGUAGGGCUGUAACCAGGGGAAGUAGGACUGUACCCAGGUGAGGUGGGGCUGUAUCCAGGAGAUGACGGGCUGUAUCCAGGAGAUGAAGGGCUGUACCCUGGAGAUGAUGUAGGAGAAAACGCCAUCCCGCCCACAUACGGAGAAAACUGAGCAUCUGAAACAGGAGAUAACCGAAGAUUUGGGCUCAGCAUAUAAUUUGGUGACAUCAUGCCAUCAUGAUAUGGGGUCCCUGAGAUGGGUGAACGGCCAGGAGUCAUGCCAAACUCCAGUCCACCUUCCAUAUAACUGGGCAGAGGGAUCUCAAUAGCUUGUUUAGCAUCUCUUCAUUCAUAUACAAAGCACAAUCACCUGUGCCAAUAGGUGCAAGCUGUCCUAACAUGAUAUUCUCAGUUACACCCCUGAGGUAAUCUGUUUCUGCAUACACAGCAGCAUCAAGAAGAAUGUCCACUGUUUCUUCAAAGGAGCAUCUCAUCAUGGGGCCAGUAUCGUUGCGAUUGAUACCAUGACGGGUGAUGGCCAUCAAGUGACCACGAUAUGUCAUGGUAUCACACAAUAUAGCCAAAUGUCUAUAGUUCACGUAAGACCCAUCAAAUGAUAUGACAACACGCAACUCAUCCAGCAAGGCUUUGCGAACUGCCUCAAUGCCAAGAACUUCAAUAACUUCAAUCAAAUGAUUGCUUGUUGUCCUACUUGCAUCUACAUCUUCAUGGCAAAUUACAGCUAAAAGAUUAACACCUUCGGUGUCAAGCAUCCACUCAUUCUCAGCCUUGAAGCCUUCAUUUUCAUCAAACUUAUUUACCUUGCCAUUCUUUAUGAACACCUUAUUGAUAUCUGGUAUGCCUCGAAGAGCCAUUUCUGUAAGCAUGUUACCCUCAAUCUUUUUGAGGAAGACAUCAUCCUCAGCAGAUUCAUCAUUCAACUCACCUUUAGGGGCUUCAUCAUUCAUAAUACGAAUACGAAGGAUAAGCUUUUCAGCAUUAUCAUCAUUAAAUAUGCACGUUAGAUCACUAUCAAAUUCAGCAUUAAUCUUAUGGGAAAUAUCAGCCAUGUUGAGUUUCUUAUCCACCAUCAUUUCUCUGUUUAACUCUAUGCGAAGCAACCACGGAGAGAUCUUGUCGGGGUCAACAUCAUCAUCUGGCAUCUCAAAGUAGGACGUCACAAAUUCAACAUCUUCCUCAAUAAUAGUGCUCUUAGGAUCUGGAUCGUACCAUACCUCUGUUGCUUGUGUUACACUCCGCAAGGUUGUAUACUCCAGAGCGCACUGGACAUUUUUGGCCUUCUCCUUAGUUUUGCUUACACCAGGCUUCAAGUAUACCGAGAGNAGGUAAUCUGUUUCUGCAUACACAGCAGCAUCAAGAAGAAUGUCCACUGUUCUCAAAGGAGCAUCUCAUCAUGGGGCCAGUAUCGUUGCGAUUGAUACCAUGACGGGUGAUGGCCAUCAAGUGACCACGAUAUGUCAUGGUAUCACACAAUAUAGCCAAAAUGUCUAUAGUUCACGUAAGACCCAUCAAAUGAUAUGACAACACGCAACUCAUCCAGCAAGGCUUUGCGAACUGCCUCAAUGCCAAGAACUUCAAUAACUUCAAUCAAAUGAUUGCUUGUUGUCCUACUUGCAUCUACAUCUUCAUGGCAAAUUACAGCUAAAAGAUUAACACCUUCGGUGUCAAGCAUCCACUCAUUCUCAGCCUUGAAGCCUUCAUUUUCAUCAAACUUAUUUACCUUGCCAUUCUUUAUGAACACCUUAUUGAUAUCUGGUAUGCCUCGAAGAGCCAUUUCUGUAAGCAUGUUACCCUCUAAUCUUUUUGUAGGAAGACAUCAUCCUCAGCAGAUUCAUCAUUCAACUCACCUUUAGGGGCUUCAUCAUUCAUAAUACGAAUACGAAGGAUAAGCUUUUCAGCAUUAUCAUCAUUAAAUAUGCACGUUAGAUCACUAUCAAAUUCAGCAUUAAUCUUAUGGGAAAUAUCAGCCAUGUUGAGUUUCUUAUCCACCAUCAUUUCUCUGUUUAACUCUAUGCGAAGCAACCACGGAGAGAUCUUGUCGGGGUCAACAUCAUCAUCUGGCAUCUCAAAGUAGGACGUCACAAAUUCAACAUCUUCCUCAAUAAUAGUGCUCUUAGGAUCUGGAUCGUACCAUACCUCUGUUGCUUGUGUUACACUCCGCAAGGUUGUAUACUCCAGAGCGCACUGGACAUUUUUGGCCUUCUCCUUAGUUUUGCUUACACCAGGCUUCAAGUAUACCGAGAGAGAGGGUGUUUUAAUUUUCUUAGCAACAUUAAUAAUCUCCCUCAACCUUGGAACACCUAAAGUUAACAAUUCUUGGCACUCACACCAGCAUAGUGAAAUGUAUUGAGGGUCAUCUGUGUAGCAGGUUCACCAAUGGAUUGUGCAGCAACACAUCCUAUCAUUUCACCAGCAGCAACAAGUGACUGAAGAAAACGGGAUUCUAUCUCGCCAACUACCCAGUCAAAAGCCUCACGGGUAAGUCUGUACUCCUUCAGGACCCUUUUACUUGCUAAAGCACUACGAAGCAAUAUAUUGAAGAAAAGAGUAGCAUUCUUCUGUGCUUCCAAACUCAGAUAAUCAUCACCAACAACCACCUUAAGCCUUUCUUGUAACUUAUCAACAGCUUCUACAAUCUCCAUUGGAUGCAUAUCAGACGGUCUCCGAAAAUCAACUCUAAAGGUCUUCUGUGCAUUCAAAACAAGCCUCUUGAUGUUGACAGGGAGGGGCCAAGAAUUGUCACCCGUGGUGGCAAUCUCUGUUCCAAGUUGAUACCUAUCGGCUUCAAGUUUCUGAACCUCUGCAUCAAACACACUGCGGAUUUCACGAAUCGUUUUCAGAUCUUCCACAGCUUCAGGUAACAUAUAAUUAGGAUUCCAGUUUGGGUGAUCAAUCUCAUAUUUGUACAUGUCAUUGAAAUCCGAUCUCUUCAACUUCAGUGAUUCCAAAGGCUGUGAUUCAAUCCAAACUGCAUCCAUACCAUCUUCCCCGUACAGAAACUGAAUCACAUCACCUAACGAAUUCCUAACAGUCCCAUCAUACUUAACCAUGAUAUCUUCCAUAGCCUUCACCAAUCGCCUCUGAAUAUAUCCAGUCUCAGAAGUUUUCACUGCAGUGUCAAUAAGACCUUCCCUACCACCCAUGGCAUGGAAAAAGAACUCUUGAGGAGACAAUCCUCGAAGAUAUGAGUUCUCCACAAAACCACGACUCUCUGGACCAUAAUCAUCUUUGGUGAAGUGUGGAAGUGUGCGAUCCACAAAACCAAAAGGAAUUCGCUUGCCUUCAACAUUCUGCUGACCCACACAUGCAGUCAUCUGAGAAAUAUUGAUGAAACUUCCCUUAGACCCUGCAGUGACCAUAGCUUUGAGGUUGUUACUUUCUGCCAAGCUCUUCUGAGCACUGCUUCCAGCAUCAUCACGAGCCUUAUUCAACACCUGAAGGCACAAAACAUAUAUAAGGGAAUCACCAGGCUGCAGCAAGGAAAUCAAAAUUUUUAACAAACCUGGUUAACUCUGUUCUCGAACGAUUCCAUCAUUGUUCUUCCUGGCUCAGCUUCCAAUUGCUUUUCUUGUGCAGCCCUGAUAAGUUCAUUCACCUCAUUCUUAGCUUUGUUAAUAGUUUCAGAGAUCUUCGUCAUUGUAUCAUGAUCAGCAAUUGUAUCUCCAAUUCCCAUGCUAAAAGCGUUCUGCAAAAGCCAAUAAUUGACCAGCCAUUGUGUAUGUCCCAAAAAUUUCCGAGCUGCAUCUGGACCGACUUCUUCCCUGAGACCAGUAUACAUUAUAUUAAACACAUAAAUAUGAAUAAAGAAUCUUUCGGGCUUUCAGUUCAUUAUUAUAAUAUUUAUUACUCCUUGUUUCAUGUGCCAUAUCAUAUGUUUUGAUGUCACAAAUGCUAUAAUAUUCACACAGAAGAGCUACUAGAGUGGAGGAAGACUGAUAUAUGCAAAAGCUAAAUUGUUAAAGAGUACAGAAAUUUUCAAUAAGAUACUCAUGUAGUUUUAAACUUCUGAAGAAAAUUAAUCUUCUCUUCUACAAAUUCCGAUGGAGUAAGCAAAGGAACACUUUCUUGAAAUGGCAUUAGUUUUAUUGAUAUCUAUAAUGAGUGCAAGCAUGGAGAUUGAUAAAGUGUUUUGUCUGCAAAGAAACAGUACCCAUUUUUUUGUGCCAAAAGGAGAAUCUUUUUGCUAGUGAAAAGAGAGGGUAUUUCAUUGGUAACUCAAGCAAGUUCUUUUGAAAGUAUUACUUCUUCAAUCAACAUAUUGCGAGUUCUGACUCAUUUGCGAGAUCCUAGAAUAUAUAAAUAAAAGACACCAACUUCAUUUAAAGUAUUUGCAUACAUAUGCUCCCAAUCCCCAUUGCCCAUAGAGCAAUGGACCAAUUUAAUACAACAUGAAUUCUUCAGAAGAUAAAAGUGAAAGUCAUGCUUUUGCUCUUAAAUUUAAGGUUGAACGAAAAAUGUGACCCGCAAACAGCCCCAUACCUCCAUUUUACCCAACUUUCCACUUAUUACAUUUUGCUACUAGAUACUUCAGGUAUGUUACCCGCAAUCAGCCCCAAUUCAUAAUAUGGAUAAGUUGGGUGGGCGUUUAGGAGACAAUAGUUUCCUUUCAAAACCCACCAAAUGCAGAAAUGGUACUGCAAAAAUUCCAGAAAGAACGUACCAAAUAACAUGUAUGAGACUUCCACUAGAUGACCCGAGUGUUUUCUUGCAUAGGGUGCCUGAAAGUAACUCCCCUUUUUCUAUCCGUACUUGAGUAUCCCCAGGAGUAAUAAAUCCUUUUUCAGUUUCUUGAUGCCAUGAAGAAUACCUUAAUAGAUUUAUCUGUCUUGGAAUGAUUAAAUUAAAUACUUGUUUCCCAGUCCAAAGAGGCUUAGGUUUCAGAAUUGUUGGAGCAGGUACUUUGCCAUCAAAAUCCUCCCACCACAUAAGGAUGUUCAUAAAAACAUCCUGCGAACAAUACAGACAGCGAUAUCAGAUUGAAUGUGGACACUUACCUAAAAAUUACAUAAUGAUGACAGAAAAUCAAAUGUUACCUUGUCAAUAAAAGUAUCUCUCUUAGUGAUUUUGCGACAUCCUAGUAGUGUAUCCUGCACAAUACCCAUUACAGGUCGAUUUGAUUGAGGUGACACGAUGCAUUUUGGAACCAUCAUUAAUUCCAGAACUUCGGCUCUAGUUUCAAAUGACUGGGGCACGUGCAUAUUCAUUUCAUCUCCAUCAAAAUCAGCAUUGUAGGGUGAGGUAACAGACAGAUUUAAGCGGAAUGUUGAAUAUGGCAUAAUCUUGAUUCUGUGGCCCAUAAUGGACAUCUUAUGGAGACUCGGUUGCCGAUUGAACAGGACAAAGUCUCCAUCAUUUAAAUGUCUCUCAACCUGUACCAUCAAAUAAUAGGAAUCAGGUGUCAAAAGGAAUCCAAUGCUUGAUCAUUCUCAAUUAUAUAGCUGGGAGUCUCACCUUAUAUCCAAGUUCUAGAUGCUGAUCACUACUCUUUUUCAAGUACCGGAGAUCAAGCCUCUGUCCAUCAUCCCUAAUAAUAUAUUUUGCGCCAGUUUUACCAGGAGGGGGAUGAGGUCCAUAUUCCACAAGCUCUUUCAAUCUAUUUUCAAGGUCAAUAUCUGGUUAACAAGAAUAACCAAAAAGUAUAGAGGGAUCACUAUCAAGAAAUAUGGUAAGAGUGCCUAACCUUUCGAUGUUAUAUGGAGUUACAGUUUCAGGAUAUGUAAGAUUUAAGGCAAUACUCCAAGGCACACCCAGCUGGUCGAUGUUGAUUGUUGGGUCAGGUGUAAUCACAGUCCGAGCCGAAAAAUCUACUCGCUUACCCAUCAAGUUACCUCUGAUCCUACCAUCUUUUGCCUUAAGCCUGCUACAUAUUGAUUUAAUGGGUCUGCCAGAUCUUUGGGUAGCCUGAUGUAUACAAGGAUACUUCACUUGUUAGAUAAAUGAUGUUCCAGGAACUGCAUCCACAGUCUCAAUAUACUGAAAUAAUAUAACAUACUCUUGGUUGACCAGGUAAAUCGUUAUCAAAGUAUGUAGCCACAUGGAACUGCAGCAACUGUGCAAACUCAGAGAUGAUGUGUGCAGGAGCCCCAUUCCGCUCCUGCCUCUUUAAGUUCUCAUUAUGCCUAAUGAUCAUGGCCAGUUGAUGAGUUAAAUCAUCCUGCAUAAAUUGAUUCAAUUAUUAGAUUCUCCUGCAACUUAAAAGCAGCAAUCCGAGGAACAUGCAAUUGAUUGACUUGAUCAGUUUGCAGUGAACAGAACCCGAUACACUUAUCUGACCUAAAGGAACAAUUAGGGGUAAUCUAAACACCCAUGACAUUGUAGAGAUCAAAAGGAGAAGUCAUGCCUCACUCCGAGAAGAAGUAUCCAUCAUUACAGAAGGCCUAACUGGAGGAGGAGGGAUUGGAAGAACUUGAAGAAUCAUCCAGUCAGGGCGAGCAUAUUUUGGAUUCAAGCCCAACAACUGACAAUCUUCAUCAGUAAUUCUCUUCAGUAUGCUGAGCACCUGAAACAAAAAGGAAAUAGAGAUUGUUGGGAUUAGCGCAUAAAUCAAUCUAUCACAUUAUCCAGGCUGGAAAAAAAAGUUUGAAUCCCUAUUCUCUGGCAAUUUAUGAUAUAUGAUACCUUCUCUGCAGAGAGAAGUUGUUUUCGUUCAACAGGUUCAGGCAUCUGGUCCUGGUCAUCACUUUUCUUCUUCUGAAUCUUGUAUUCAGCAACCAUUUUCAUCCCAUCUAUAGAAAUCUUUGGCUGCUGAGCACCGCAUCCACCCCUAGACUUCUUCACAGGUUCUUCCGAAUCUUGACCUCGCACAUCGAUCUCAUCACCUCCUUCACAUUUGGAUUUGUUUUUGCAGGCAUCUAAUAUCUUCUUUAAUCUAUUCUUAGGGUUUCUAAUUCUCAUUGCUUGCUUGAACUUGGGAUCGUCCUAGAAAAAUUAACAAGGGAUCAAAAUACAUUGCAAAAGAAAACGAUUGUUCCAACUUCCAAGUAACUUUAUUUCCAUUUGAAGUAUAAUAUUCAGGCAAUAAUGAAAAUAACUAACUUUUACAACAGCAACACUCCUAGGAGAUGCAUCCAGAUGAUGAAAUACCUCAAACUGCUUCUAUCUUACCAAUAUGCAUUUCUAUAAAAGUAACACAAUUAUUGAAGACAUAACAGAACCUAGAAGCCUAAAACUGGAUCGUUGCUAGUCAUAAGUCUUACUAUCCAGUCACUCUUGCAAGUAAUAAGAAUGUUACAAUUAAAUCAGUUGCCCAGUUCAGGAUGGUCAUGAAUAAGACAGAAGUCUGACCCUCCUAGUAUACGAACAUAUACAUGAAAUAAGCAUUUUCCGUGAAUCCAGCAUAUGUUAUACACUUCUGAAAAAUUCAGUCUGCUACUCAGGCCUCACAACAGCGGAAUCAAUAGUCAUACCCAAUAUGAACCAAGUGAGCAUGACUGUACAAAUUCAUACUACUUAAACCGAAAACGUCCAUAACUUCAAUCUAACUACUCGGGAAAUGUACAAUACCUCAUCCGCUAAAAUCUUAGAGCAAUUGAAGCAGACACUGCGGAGAAUACUGAGCACAGUCUUCAUGAAGCCAAUGUGAAACAUAGGUUUGGCGAGCUCAAGGUGACCGAAGUGACCGGGGCAGUCAGCCAUGUUCGCCAUACAAGUCUCGCACUUCAUCUUCCGAUCAAUCGUCCCCAGACGCGGGUCGCUCAAACCACCGAUCUUCGGCUUGCCUCUUUCCGUCGUCUCGCUGUGCUCUAUAUGCACAACAGACAUUUGUCUCUACAAAACACACCAUAAAACAAUAGACCAUCAUUUCCAACUCAAUCACACACUCAAUGCCGAAACUGAAAGUUCAAAACAUUCAAAGAAGUGAGAAUUACGAUCUCAUCGGGGCUGAGAAUGCCGAAUUGGACGACGCGGACUUUCGCGACCUCUGCCGGCGAGAAGGGGAACCGCAGAUCCAUUGCGACACCGGAGAUUCUACCCUAGGGUUUUCGAUUAUGAUUUAUUAUGCUAGCUGAUAUAUAAUAAUUCCAAAAUUAGAAACAAAUAUGGUUUUCAAGUACUUCAAAUUAUUCGCGGUUUCUGUUAAGUAACUGAUUUUUGGGGUUUUUGAAGAAAACUUUUUUCACGCUGCGCUCUUCUCUGAAGGAGGAGAGGCGGCUUUGAGACCAAAGAAGAGAAUGAGGGGUUGAAGGGGUAUUUAAAGAGAUGGAUGGCUUCGAAGUCGGCGCUUAAUGGGGUUGUUUGGCUACACAGUUAUGAGCUGGACAUCUUCCUCUCGUUUGGUCCAUCUAUUAAAAAAUCUUCUUAAUCUAUUUUUAAACAUAAUUUCAUCAACUAUUAUCCUUAUAAUUUUCAUUUUUUGUAAGACUCAUUUUUCACUUAUCAAGUAUACAAUUAAUUUUUAUUAAAAUUCAUGUCACCCUCCUUUAUAAAGAUCUUUGAGAAAUGAAGGGAGUGUUAAUUCCAAAUAUUUGGUAAAAUAAGUACAUAAAUACUCAUUUCGUCCCAACUUUUAGUAUCAAUUUAAGAAUGACACGUGUUUUAAUAAAGUUGUUAAGUGUGUUGUGAGUGGAAUAAGGGUCUCGCAUUUUACGUGAAUGUUAAAAUAAUUAAAGUGGAGUAAGGGUCUCACCUACUUUUACUAAAAAUAAAAAUGAAUAUCAAAAUAUGGAACGGCCAAAAAAGGAAAUAUGAAUACUAAAAGUUGGGACGAAGAUAGUAGUUUACAAGCUCUACAAAUAAGUUUCUACAAUUUAUAAGCUUUUCAAACUACAAACUUUUUACCAUAAAUUACUUUUUCAUAAUUUUAUACUUCCUUCAUCCCAAUUCNCUUAUAAUUUUUCAUUUUUUUGUAAGACUCAUUUUUUCACUUAUCAAGUAUACAAUUAAUUUUUAUUAAAAUUCAUGUCACCCUCCUUUAUAAAGAUCUUUGAGAAAUGAAGGGAGUGUUAAUUCCAAAUAUUUGGUAAAAUAAGUACAUAAAUACUCAUUUCGUCCCAACUUUUAGUAUCAAUUUAAGAAUGACACGUGUUUUAAUAAAGUUGUUAAGUGUGUUGUGAGUGGAAUAAGGGUCUCGCAUUUUACGUGAAUGUUAAAAUAAUUAAAGUGGAGUAAGGGUCUCACCUACUUUUACUAAAAAUAAAAAUGAAUAUCAAAAUAUGGAACGGCCAAAAAAGGAAAUAUGAAUACUAAAAGUUGGGACGAAGAUAGUAGUUUACAAGCUCUACAAAUAAGUUUCUACAAUUUAUAAGCUUUUCAAACUACAAACUUUUUACCAUAAAUUACUUUUUCAUAAUUUUAUACUUCCUUCAUCCCAAUUCAAUAGGCCACAAGACAAGGCUUGGACAUGGAUAUUAAGAAGCGAAUAGUUUAUAAUAAAAUACGAGAGAGAAAGUAGCUUUUUUUAGAGUAAAUUUGUGAAAAAAGUAGGAGAGAGUAGAGAUAAUUUUGUGGGAUCACAAUGAUAUUUGAUGUACAUAAUGAGUUGUGCGAAGGUGUUUGUUAUAUACUAUGAUUUUUUAUUUUAGGAAGUGACCUAUUGAAUUGGAACGUCCAAAUAAGGAUUCAUGACAUAUUUAAAUGGAACUGAGGGAGUAAUAUAUUUUACAAAAAUUAUUCAAUUAUACUUUAUUACUAUUUUCAUCAUAUACACUUUAAACCACUUUGCAAAAAUUAACUCAAUCAUAUAAAUACUUUCACAACUUAUAAGCUCUUACAAAAAUACAUUUUUAAAAUUUUUGAAACAUUUUAUAAAUUGCUACAAUUAUAAAUUUCUUAAAAUAAGCUUAUCCAAACAUCCCCUUAAUUCUACAACAAAAUUUUAACAAAUGGAGUAUAAAUGAGCUAUGAUUGGUAACAUAUUUUUCCUACAAAAAUAAUAAGCGAUAGGUAACAUAACUAGCGUGGGAACUAAGAAUCAAUCUGGUCUAUUAAUUUGAUUAAAUGAUCAUGAUUGAUUUCCAUAUUGAACAAUACAUAUAUAUGAUAAUGCAUCAGUUUAUGCCAGAAAUUAUGCCAUGCUGAUAAAUAAUACUCCAUUCGUCCCAAACGAAAUGUCCUAUUUCUUUUCGGUACGGAAAUUAAGAAAUGUGUAUAAAAUAGAUUAAGUGGGUUGGUGAAAAUUAUUUAAAUAUUAAGUAUAGAGAGAGAGUGUAGUGCCAAAAAAGGAAACAUGACAUUUCGUUUGAGAUAGCCCAAAAAGGAAAACAGUACAUUUCGUUUGGAACGGAGGGAGUAUAGUGCAUACUUAUAAUAAACAACGUAGUUUUAAGUGUGGUGCCCACUUCGGGGGAGCUUGUUGGAUUUAUAAUAAACGACGUAGUUUUCAUAUAUACAAAAAAUCCUCUUCCAUUGAGAUGGUUUCUUACAUUCUUGGCUUCAGCUGCGCAUGGCUUAUCUAUGCAUGCAUUAUUUUAGUUAUAAGCAAUUUAGUAAAUAAAAUAACAAAAUGGAUGGAUUAACAUUGCCACAAAACAUGAUGACACUAUUAGUAUUUUACUUCAAAGGGGAAGAAAAAAAAACUUUAUACGAAUGAAAGAAUGCCAUGUUAAACAAUCUCUCUUAGCCAAAUUGGAAAGCUAUGAGACCAAACAAAUGGACUACAAAUUAAAAAAGAGGUUAUAAAGUGACACGGGACUUAUACGCCACGUGCGGAGUUCAGCUGCCCGACUGCCGGAGUUCAGCUGCCCGACUGCCGGCCUGGUAUGAAAAUGAUUGGGUUAGGGUAGGGUGUCCCAUGCAACAAAUCCUCAUUCCACCUUCCCUUUGUCAGUUUCAUUUACCACACUAAGCCAUGUAAACAAUACCAACACAAUCACAAAAUCAGCAAAUCUAUUCGAACUCGCUUGGCCUAUGGUGAAAGCAGGAUGGAAAAGAAAGCAAAAUAAGCAAAGGUAAAUAUACCUGCUUGGACUGGAAGGAGAAAAAGAUGGUGAUGUUGGGCUGCAAAACCACAGAAAAUAAUAUGUCAAGGUAGCAUUUGAAAGAGAGUUUCACCAGUUCAGAAUAUAUCCUAGUCUUGUCGGGGAAAUAAAACAAAAAGAGUAAUACUCUAGGGAACAAUUUAUCCAGCUUCCUCUGUGGACAAUCAAGUAUAGAAACAGAGUAAUACAUUUAACCAAGGUUAUAUUUGUUAGCAAACUUGAAGAGCAAAAAUUAAAAUAAGGCUUGCCAAAAGUUACCUGAGACUCGGAGAAUAUGGACUGUACGGACUUGAAGGUGUGAUUUUUGGACUUGUAGGUGAAUAUGCUUGUGAAGGGCUAUACCUUGCUGAAGGAUUGUAACUUGGUGAGGUCAGACUGUAAGUCGGUGAGGUGGGACUGUAUCCAGGUGAAGUUGGGCUGUAGGCAGGAGAGGUAGGGCUGUAUGAAGGUGAGGUUGGGCUGUACGAUGGAGAGGUUGGGCUGUAAGAUGGUGAGGUUGGGCUGUAAGAGGGAGACGUGGGGCUGUAAGCCGGAGAAGUUGGGUUAUAAGCAGGUGAGGUUGGGCUGUAAGAGGGAGACGUGGGGCUGUAAGCCGGAGAAGUUGGGCUAUACGCAGGUGAGGUUGGGCUGUAUGCUGGAGAAGUUGGGCUGUAGCUCGGAGAUGUAGGGCUGUAGCUCGGAGAUGUGGGGCUAUAGCUAGGAGAUGUUGGGCUGUAGGAAGGAGACGUUG
rnacentral:lncRNA from 1 species